rnacentral:rRNA from 1 species
CGGAAGAUGUAACGGGGCUAAACCAUGCACCGAAGCUGCGGCAGCGAACGUAUCACCCAAGACAACUUUGCGGAGUUGACGAUUGACGGAGCGAAGCGACGUCAAAGCGUUCAUUAAAGUCGAGUUGGCUUAGGGAUACGUUCGUUGGGUAGGGGAGCGUUCUGUAAGCCUGUGAAGGUGGCCUGUGAGGGUUGCUGGAGGUAUCAGAAGUGCGAAUGCUGACAUAAGUAACGAUAAAGCGGGUGAAAAGCCCGCUCGCCGGAAGACCAAGGGUUCCUGUCCAACGUUAAUCGGGGCAGGGUGAGUCGACCCCUAAGGCGAGGCCGAAAGGCGUAGUCGAUGGGAAACGGGUUAAUAUUCCCGUACUUGGUGUUACUGCGAAGGGGGGACGGAGAAGGCUAUGUUGGCCGGGCGACGGUUGUCCCGGUUUAAGCGUGUAGGUGUGUGUUCCAGGUAAAUCCGGUUCACUUUAACACUGAGGCGUGACGACGAGGCACUACGGUGCUGAAGCAACAAAUGCCCUGCUUCCAGGAAAAGCCUCUAAGCAUCAGGUAACAUCAAAUCGUACCCCAAACCGACACAGGUGGUCAGGUAGAGAAUACCAAGGCGCUUGAGAGAACUCGGGUGAAGGAACUAGGCAAAAUGGUGCCGUAACUUCGGGAGAAGGCACGCUGACACGUAGGUGAAGUGAUUUACUCAUGGAGCUGAAGUCAGUCGAAGAUACCAGCUGGCUGCAACUGUUUAUUAAAAACACAGCACUGUGCAAACACGAAAGUGGACGUAUACGGUGUGACGCCUGCCCGGUGCCGGAAGGUUAAUUGAUGGGGUCAGCGCAAGCGAAGCUCCUGAUCGAAGCCCCGGUAAACGGCGGCCGUAACUAUAACGGUCCUAAGGUAGCGAAAUUCCUUGUCGGGUAAGUUCCGACCUGCACGAAUGGCGUAAUGAUGGCCAGGCUGUCUCCACCCGAGACUCAGUGAAAUUGAACUCGCUGUGAAGAUGCAGUGUACCCGCGGCAAGACGGAAAGACCCCGUGAACCUUUACUAUAGCUUGACACUGAACAUUGAGCCUUGAUGUGUAGGAUAGGUGGGAGGCUUUGAAGUGUGGACGCCAGUCUGCAUGGAGCCGACCUUGAAAUACCACCCUUUAAUGUUUGAUGUUCUAACGUGGACCCGUUACCCGGGUUGCGGACAGUGUCUGGUGGGUAGUUUGACUGGGGCGGUCUCCUCCUAAAGAGUAACGGAGGAGCACGAAGGUUGGCUAAUCCUGGUCGGACAUCAGGAGGUUAGUGCAAUGGCAUAAGCCAGCUUGACUGCGAGCGUGACGGCGCGAGCAGGUGCGAAAGCAGGUCAUAGUGAUCCGGUGGUUCUGAAUGGAAGGGCCAUCGCUCAACGGAUAAAAGGUACUCCGGGGAUAACAGGCUGAUACCGCCCAAGAGUUCAUAUCGACGGCGGUGUUUGGCACCUCGAUGUCGGCUCAUCACAUCCUGGGGCUGAAGUAGGUCCCAAGGGUAUGGCUGUUCGCCAUUUAAAGUGGUACGCGAGCUGGGUUUAGAACGUCGUGAGACAGUUCGGUCCCUAUCUGCCGUGGGCGCUGGAGAACUGAGGGGGGCUGCUCCUAGUACGAGAGGACCGGAGUGGACGCAUCACUGGUGUUCGGGUUGUCAUGCCAAUGGCACUGCCCGGUAGCUAAAUGCGGAAGAGAUAAGUGCUGAAAGCAUCUAAGCACGAAACUUGCCCCGA